rnacentral:rRNA from 1 species
UGGGGAAUAUUGCACAAUGGGCGCAAGCCUGAUGCAGCAACGCCGCGUGAGGGAUGACGGCCUUCGGGUUGUAAACCUCUUUUAGCAGGGAAGAAGCGAAAGUGACGGUACCUGCAGAAAAAGCGCCGGCUAACUACGUGCCAGCAGCCGCGGUAAUACGUAGGGCGCAAGCGUUAUCCGGAAUUAUUGGGCGUAAAGAGCUCGUAGGCGGUUUGUCGCGUCUGCUGUGAAAUCCCGAGGCUCAACCUCGGGUCUGCAGUGGGUACGGGCAGACUAGAGUGCGGUAGGGGAGAUUGGAAUUCCUGGUGUAGCGGUGGAAUGCGCAGAUAUCAGGGGGAACACCGAUGGCGAAGGCAGAUCUCUGGGCCGUAACUGACGCUGAGGAGCGAAAGGGUGGGGAGCAAACAGGCUUAGAUACCCUGGUAGUCCACCCCGUAAACGUUGGGAACUAGUUGUGGGUCCAUUCCACGGAUUCCGUGACGCAGCUAACGCAUUAAGUUCCCCGCCUGGGGAGUACGGCCGCAAGGCUAAAACUCAAAUGAAUUGACGGGGUCAUAGCUGUUUCCU